rnacentral:rRNA from 1 species
AACGAACGCUGGCGGCAGGCUUAACACAUGCAAGUCGAGCGCAUCCUUCGGGGUGAGCGGCGGACGGGUGAGUAACGCGUGGGAACGUGCCCUCUUCUACGGAAUAGCCUCGGGAAACUGAGAGUAAUGCCGUAUACGCCCGCAAGGGGAAAGAUUUAUCGGAGGAGGAUCGGCCCGCGUUGGAUUAGGUAGUUGGUGGGGUAACGGCCUACCAAGCCGACGAUCCAUAGCUGGUUUGAGAGGAUGAUCAGCCACACUGGGACUGAGACACGGCCCAGACUCCUACGGGAGGCAGCAGUGGGGAAUCUUGGACAAUGGGGGCAACCCUGAUCCAGCCAUGCCGCGUGAGCGAUGAAGGCCUUAGGGUUGUAAAGAUCUUUCAGCUGGGAAGAUAAUGACGGUACCAGCAGAAGAAGCCCCGGCUAACUACGUG